CAGGGUGUGUGUGACAGGCGCUUCUGGUUAUGUUGCUUCUUGGCUUGUUAAGCGACUUCUACAGUCUGGGUAUCAUGUAAUAGGAACAGUCCGAGACCCAGGUUCCAUCACUCCAUUUCUUCUUCUUCAUCAUCAACUCAUGUCCCUGUUCAUCAAUAGACAUUCAUCAAUAGACAGAAUUCAGUGCUCAUUUGGACUCGAUUUACUCAUCUCUUCGGAUUACAAGAUGGAACUAACAAUAACAGAUUUGCAGGGGGCCAUAAGAAAUUGGCCCAUCUGUGGGAGUUGGAAGGUGCAAAGGACAGGCUUCAGCUUGUGAAGGCCAAUCUCAUGGAUGAAGGCAGCUUUGAUGAUGCCGUAAUGGGAUGUGAAGGUGUCUUCCAUACCGCAUCUCCCGUGGUCGUAGCCAUGUAUCCCAAGGUAUGCAGUUCCUCUCAUCAUGGCAUGUCCAUUUGAACAGUAGCUGAAAACUGCUAUUCUUCCCUCUUAUUUGGAGUUGGACACAUGGAAAAUAGUUCUCUCUUAAAACCGCUUGCAAAAGAGAGAGAAAAAUGGUCAGGAGAACAUACAGCUUAGUUGCAUUUGUGGAAAUUUGUCUCAUUUUGUUGUUUGUGGCCAUGGCUCCUGGUGUUGACAUUUAGCAGGCUGAGAUACUGGAUCCUGCAGUCACUGGCACUCUAAAUGUGUUGCGAUCAUGCAAGAAGAAUCCAGCACUAAGGAGAGUUGUUCUGACGUCGUCUUCAUCUGCAAUAAGAGUAAGAGAGAAUGUCAACCCCAGAUUACCACUGGAUGAGACAUCAUGGAGCUCUGUGGAACUUUGCCAAACGUUCCAGGUGAAAGACCAUAACUAAUCUGCUACUGCAUGUUUGGCACAUUUAUACAUACACAAUACUUAUUUAGAUGGCUUUUUGGUUAUACAAUUAUUGAAGGCUAAAUGAACCCUUCUUGCUAUGAUAAGAGCAGAAACACUAAGCAAAAAAGAUCCAUGGCAAUGUGCUUAAUUCUGAAUAAUGCUCAUAUAUUCUUUUUGCUUUUUGUUAUCCAAGAUGUGGUAUGCCCUAGCAAAAGUUCUAGCAGAGAAGGCAGCUUGGGAAUUUGCAAAGGAGAACAAAAUAGACCUUGUAACUCUUCUUCCAUCAUUCAUCGUCGGACCAAGUCUGCCCCAUGAUUUGUGUCUAACUGUUAGUGACGUCCUUGGCCUACUUCGAGGUAUUUCUAAUGCCGCAAUGGAUCAUCCUUCCUUUCUAUGGAAAACAAAAUUUCAAGGCACUAAAUGCCUUCUUUUCAACAAUAGGUACAUCACACUAUAAGUACUGAUGAAACUAACUUGCAGGAGAAAAAGAUAGGUUCUCAGCUUAUGGCAGAAUGGGCUAUGUUCACAUUGAUGAUGUUGCCUGCUGCCACAUUUUGGUGUACGAAAAUGACAAUGCUCAAGGGCGAUAUCUCUGCAGUUCCAAUGUCCUUGAUAAUCAUGAAGUAGCUGCCCUGCUUGCAAACCGCUAUCCUUCAUUGCCCAUCCCAAAUAGGUUAGUUCUAUUUAUGGUAUCAUAUUGUAUAUAUCAUUGUAAAUUACAAGCUAAGGUUCUAGAGGCUGAAGUUUCCUUGUUAUGAAACUAGAAUCUCGCAAAAUUUGGAAAAGAAUGAUGUGUCUAAGAAUACACAAAACUUUAAGAACAAUUUGAGACACUUAUUUGUAUGCAAGUAAAAUCUUUCAGAAUAUAAGGGAUUUAAGAAACAACUGAAGAACCAUGAACUGAUGUCUAUAACCUACUUUUUGAUGAUUUAUUUGAAAAAUAAAAUAAAAGAAGCAAACAAUUUAACAUCUAUGAUUUAUUCUUUGACUAUUGUCUUCGUGUAAAUAUAUAAAUUCUUACUAGGUAAUCUUUCCUUUGCAUUAUAAGAAGUUGACUUGUGUUCAGGUUCCACAAUUACCAUGCUGAGAUACCACGUUACCAGUUUGACACAUCCAAACUACGUGACUUGGGGUUUAAAUUCAAGGGUACUGAAGAGAUGUUUGAUGAUUGCAUUGCAUCGCUGAGGACACAAGGCUAUCAGAUCUAAUGAUUUAAGUACCUUCUCGAUUUGCCAACAUUACUUACUAGAUAAUAAAAGCUUUAAACAAGUCGUAUGAACCAUUUUAAUAAAUCUCUGUGUCAAGAACUUUUAAGUACAGGACAUGCUAUGGGCGCCAAUAUAUCAUUCUCUUAUAUUAAUAAACUACAUUACUUUGGCUUGCUUCUUGUUACAUUCAAUUAAAUAUUACAAGAAAGUAUCACUAGUAAGCAUGGGUAUAAUUCUAGAAGAGCUGAGAGUGUUCUACUUGAUCUCACAAGGGACAAGAUGCAGUGCAACAUUUGACAUGCAUAGCACGCUGAUCUGUUCUGUGUUGGUUUGUGCAUCGUCAUUUUGCCUAAAUUGUACAUUCAGAUUAUUUCAUAUUUGAUAAUGGGGUUUAACGUCAUUAGGAACACUGUGAUGAUGUAGCUAUUGUAUAAUUCGGAACAACCAUUUCCUUUCUGCAAAGACACAGAAACUAUUUGUGUAGCUCACGUAAUUGUCUUAUGGUGCAUCUGUGCACAGAGGCCUAUAAUAUGGUGCAUCUAUGACAUUUACCUAGACAGUAAUAUGCUAAACUAAUGACUAUUUUCUUGAACACCUUUCCAACUUAAUGAAGAACAAGAAAAUGCUUGAGAAUUUUAUAACUUUGAAAGAACAUAGCAUGAGCAACUCAGUUAUUACUUGUUUAUCAAAUUCAAGAUAGUAAUCAAUACAUAAGGUGAUGUAAAGAAUGAUCCAAGAUUAGAUCCAAAACACAGAAAUCAUGAGAAAUAAUUUUACUAGUUUGUCAGAGAACUUCAAUCAGGUAUAUAUCUGACACAAUCAGCCUCAUGACAUCCAUAACCACAGCCUUAUCAGAAUUCUGAUCAAAAUUAACUAGAACCUUUGAUAAUUGCUCAUACGAGAUGCAUCGGUUUACUUAAAAACAAUAUUUUUAUCACGAGCACAAAAGAAAAAAGAAAAAUGCAAACAUACUACAUUAUCAGUGAUAGGGAACAAAUUGGAGGAUGCCCAAUGAACAACGAGAAAAAACAGAAAACAGUAUGUACCAAUUACCCAAGGAAGAGAUCAAAAUGGUUCUUACGAGUUCUUUUUCCUGACGAUGGCCUUCAGAACCAUUGGCGAGAAUGGUCCUGUCUUGUCCAAAUGCACUCCAACAGCUUUUUCCAUCAAGAACAAAACAUCUCCCUCCUGCAGCCUCUUGACAACAUUCUAAGCUUCCUUCACCCCCUUCUUUUUACAUAAUCCAUCGACCAAACUGAUAGAAAUUAAGCGAAGAAGAUAGAAAGAUAGAAAUUAUAGAAGAAACUAUGAAAUGUAUAAGAUAUAAUUGCCUAAUACAUUUUGAUAGUGAGUUCUUGACAGUCAUUUAUACACACUCAGUAGGGAGGUUAUACA
rnacentral:lncRNA from 1 species